GACUGGGGUGAAGUCGUAACAAGGUAGCCGUAGGGGAACCUGCGGCUGGAUCACCUCCUUUCUAAGGAUGAUCUUAGCUGAAAGUUUACUUUCACGUAGAUCACUUUUUAGCAGCUCUUAAAUGAGCUUUAGUAGUCUUCGGACUACAUCAUAGACCGAACCGUCCUCAUAUCUCUUCAGUAAUAAUAAUUUUGCAGGUCAUCGAUCUGUUAAGGGUCGGUAGCUCAGGUGGUUAGAGCGCACGCCUGAUAAGCGUGAGGUCGGAGGUUCAAGUCCUCCUCGACCCACCAUAAAAUGGGGCGUUAGCUCAGCUGGGAGAGCACCUGCUUUGCAAGCAGGGGGUCAUCGGUUCGAUCCCGAUACGCUCCACCAUUUCCUUCAGAUUAUUAUAUCAAUUCCGAUUAGAUCAUUAAGGACUGUAAGCAGUUUUUUAAUCAUCCAAUCGGAUGGCGAACCUUCGGGUUCACUUUUACAUCGUUUAGAGAGCAUAUAAAACACGAGACGUAAGUUUCUUGUUUGGACCACUUCUUCGGAAAAGGUUAGGAAUUGAAUAUUUUGAGGCUGAAGAGCUUUGAGAGACUAGAUUGUUAGCUGGUUCGCAGUAUCAUAGGUAACUAUGAAGCAUAAUCAGACUAGGGUGACCAACCCACUGUGCGUGUGCUGUUGGUGAGCGUUCCAGUGCGGUUCGCAAGCUAAUUCAAAGAUAAUUUACAGUCUUUCCAAGUCAAAUACACUAACCAAAGUCACAGUGAAUUAGAUCUACUGUGACAUGAAGGGAUGCUCGAAAGAGCAUUCAUUCGCUGGAAUGUGCGUGACCUUCCUGCCAAGGGAGGGUUACAUUUGAGUUCAAAAUAAAAUGUUGUUUUUGCAAUUGCAAAACAAUGACGUGCCUAUCGCAAGAUAGGUGCUGAUGAACAAUUUUCUCAAAAAAAAUGACGACUUCUGUUCUAGAAAUAGUCUGACUAUUUCUGSGAUCAGAUCAAGCGCGAGAAGGGCGUUUGGUGGAUGCCUUGGCAGUAAGAGGCGAUGAAGGACGUGAUACUCUGCGAUAAGCUUUGGGAAGUCGAGAAUAGACGCUAUACCCAAAGAUCU
rnacentral:misc_RNA from 1 species